rnacentral:ribozyme from 1 species
AGCAAUGCAUCACUAAUAUGGGUACGGAUCUGACGCCUCUCGAAGGAUACUCGUUCUCCGUACUCUACGCUUACUUAAAAUUUCCACUGCGUACAGAAAGGUAACAUGUGUUUCCACAUAUCUGAGCUUGUAUACAGGGAAACCCAACCCAUUGGGAGGUUGGAUGAUAUGACUAAUUUAAAAAAA